CCCUUCCUCUAGUCCUCCUCCAUCGACACCGAUUCCAUUAAGUCCACCUACACUAACACCACCGACAAGUACUCCUCCACCUGCACCACCGGCAGGUCCUCCUAAUACAACGCCACCGUCAAGUCCCCCUACACCUAUACCCCCAAAAAGUCCUCCUAUACCCCAAACUAGUCCUCCUCCUCCACCAAGUCCAUCACCUCCUUCUGUACCUCCACCUACACCCGCAACAACUCCACCUGCACCACCAUCAAAUCCUCCCACACCACCAGCAAGUCCUCCUACACCCCCAACAAACCCACCAGUUAGUCCUCCUACGCCACCAGCAAGUCCUCCUAAACCAUCUUCAAGUCCUCCUACGUCACCAGCAAGUCCGCCUAAGCCCCCAACAAAUCCUCCUACACCGCCAGCAAGUCCACCUAAGCCAUUGCCAAGUCCUACGCCACCCAAGCCAUUGCCAAGUCCUACGCCACCAGCAAGUCCACCCAAGCCCCCAGCAAGUCCUCCACCUACACCACCCUCUGAUCCACCAAAGAUUCCUGCAGUUCCUCCAUUGAAUUCUCCUCCCAAUUUGCCUUCACCACUCCCAGGAAA
rnacentral:lncRNA from 1 species